AACGAACGCUGGCGGCAGGCCUAACACAUGCAAGUCGAACGUGAAGCACUUCUUCGGAGGUGUGGAAAGUGGCGCACGGGUGAGUAACGCGUGGGGACCUACCUUUCGGUGGAGGAUAACUAUUGGAAACGAUAGCUAAUACUGCAUACGCCCUUCGGGGGAAAGAUUUAUUGCCGAAAGAUGGACCCGCGUCUGAUUAGCUAGUUGGUGAGGUAAGAGCUCACCAAGGCGACGAUCAGUAGCUGGCUUGAGAGGAUGAUCAGCCACACUGGGACUGAGACACGGCCCAG
rnacentral:rRNA from 1 species